UUCCGUAGGUGAACCUGCGGAAGGAUCAUUGCCGUC
rnacentral:rRNA from 1 species